UACGAAGGGGGCAAGCGUUGUUCGGAAUUACUGGGCGUAAAGGGCGCGUAGGCGGUGCACUAAGUCAGGCGUGAAAGCCCUGGGCUCAACCCGGGAAUUGCGCUUGAUACUGGUGCGCUUGAAUCCAGGAGAGGUUGGUGAAAUUCCCAGUGUAGAGGUGAAAUUCGUAGAGAUUGGGAAGAACACCGGUGGCGAAGGCGGCCAACUGGACUGGUAUUGACGCUGAGGCGCGAAAGCGUGGGGAGCAAACAGG
rnacentral:rRNA from 1 species